AUUGAACGCUGGCGGCAUGCCUUACACAUGCAUGUCGAACGGCAGCACGGGAGCAAUCCUGGUGGCGAGUGGCGAACGGGUGAGUAAUAUAUCGGAACGUGCCCAGUAGUGGGGGAUAACUGCUCGCAAGAGCAGCUAAUACCGCAUACGACCUGAGGGUGACAGGGGGGGAUGGCAAGACCUCUCGCGAUUGGAGCGGACGAUAUCAGAUUAGCUAGUUGGUGGGGUAAAGGCCUACCAAGGCAACGAUCUGUAGUUGGUCUGAGAGGACGACCAGCCACACUGGGACUGAGACACGGCCCAGACUCCUACGGGAGGCAGCAGUGGGGAAUUUUGGACAAUGGGCGCAAGCCUGAUCCAGCCAUGCCGCGUGCAGGAAGAAGGCCUUCGGGUUGUAAACUGCUUUUGUCAGGGAAGAAAUCCUCUAGGUUAAUACCCUUGGGGGGAUGACGGUACCUGAAGAAUAAGCACCGGCUAACUACGUGCCAGCCGCCGCCGUAACAC
rnacentral:rRNA from 1 species